GGAACUUAUGAUAGAUUGUACUGCUUCACAAGCGUGUUUUCGCUCAGUUCUAUCGGAAGUUCUCGAAAUAAAGGUGUACCCAAUCUUCUUAUUGCUUGUUAGAUGUGUGCUGUUUGGCAGAAAGAGAAGUGAACGAAUGGCGCCAUCAAUGAAGUAAAAAACCUGUUGUAAUUAGGUACUUGUUCAGUGCAACCGACCCGCUGUAG